GGCGUCUUACAUAGCGGCUCGGCCAGUGCACUGUGUGAGGCAGGGGAGGGAGCGGCCCACACUUUCUCUGUCUUGUGGUGCCCUCUUUUAAUGACAAUUCGUGAUCUAUAGUCCUCCACGUUUGUCAGAAAGUGCUGCUGACCAUGGAUGUACUGGUGCUUGGUGCUGUUGUGGUGGUGUUGACAGUUGUGGUGUAUUUACUCGCCACUUUGGCACAAAAGAAACCCCUUAUGAAGAAGCUCUUGCUGAACAACGUCAGAAGCAGGAACAGGAACAGAUUGCACUAGCAAAGAGUGACAGCAACAAAAGUACAAAAAUACCAAGCAAAAGAAGCCAAAGGCCAGGAAGGAUGACUUUGAGCAGAAUGGACCAGCAUCAGCAACAAAAGUGAGGAGAUAGCUACAGAACCAGACACCACACCACCUUCUACAGAACCUGAGGCUUCUCCCCAACCCAGCAGG